UUGACGGGGAGCACCACGAACGGGUGGAGCUUGCGGUUUUAAUUGGAUUCAACGCCGGAAAUCUUACCGGGACCGACAGCAAUAUGAAGGCCAGGCUGAAGACUUUGCCGGAUUAGCUGAGAGGUGGUGCAUGGCCGUCGUCAGUUCGUACUGUGAAGCAUCCUGUUAAGUCAGGCAACGAGCGAGACCCACGCCCACAGUUGCCAGCGUACUCUCUGGAGUGACGGGUACACUGUGGGGACCGCCGCUGCUAAAGCGGAGGAAGGAAUGGGCAACGGUAGGUCAGUAUGCCCCGAAUAUCCCGGGCUACACGCGAGCUACAAUGGUUGGUACAAUGGGUAUCUACCCCGAAAGGGGACGGGAAUCUCCUAAAACCAAUCUUAGUUCGGAUUGAGGGCUGCAACUCGCCCUCAUGAAGCUGGAAUCCGUAGUAAUCGCGUUUCAACAGAACGCGGUGAAUACGUCCCUGCUCCUU
rnacentral:rRNA from 1 species